rnacentral:lncRNA from 1 species
UUAACCCCUGGGAAGUAGGGGCACGUGAGCUACUUUGAGAAUCUGAUGAAAGCUAAGUAUCGCUUCCUAGGAAAGUUUCACUCACAUAAAAUUUUGUGUGCGAUUUCAUAGCUUUCAUGAGCUUGUCAGGUCUCUGCUAAGGUUUCCUCAUAGAUUAACACACCAAUAAAAACCCCAGCUUUUCCCAGACAGAGUCAACCAAUCCUUCCCCAUUUGCUUCUCUGACAGAAGCAAAACACCCCUGUCCCAAAGCCCCAUUCUGUCCAGUCCCAGAACUGACACUCUUAUCUUGACUACCUUAUAGUUUGUGUUACAACAGCCUUGGGAGUGAAGACUACUUACCGGUACCUCUCAGACAAUCAGUCAGGAUUCCUAAUGCCCUGGAAAGGUCCACUUAGAGCAUUUCCAAUCGGAGGAACGAGCUUCUUCAUGUCUGACUGGAAGGCUUGGUUUCUGUGUUCCACAUCCAUAAAGUCAUUUCCCAAGUCCAUUGACUCACACCAAAGAGGAGGAAGCAGCUACCGAAGUGUGUUCAUGACAGACCCGGUGGCAUGGUGCUAGUGGCCUCUCCUGGUCAGUUUUGACCUGGUAGCAGGUAAAUCUGUAACUAUUCAUUCUGGUUUAAAGGGGAGAAUUUCUA